rnacentral:rRNA from 1 species
GCGGCAUGCCUUACACAUGCAAGUCGAACGGCAGCACGGGAGCAAUCCUGGUGGCGAGUGGCGAACGGGUGAGUAACGCGUGGGAACAUACCCUUUGGUACGGAAUAGCCUCGGGAAACUGGGAGUAAUACCGUAUGUGGUCGAGAGACGAAAGAUUUAUCGCCAAAGGAUUGGCCCGCGUUGGAUUAGGUAGUUGGUGGGGUAAUGGCCUACCAAGCCGACGAUCCAUAGCUGGUUUGAGAGGAUGAUCAGCCACACUGGGACUGAGACACGGCCCAGACUCCUACGGGAGGCAGCAGUGGGGAAUCUUAGACAAUGGGGGAAACCCUGAUCUAGCCAUGCCGCGUGAUCGAUGAAGGCCUUAGGGUUGUAAAGAUCUUUCAGGUGGGAAGAUAAUGACUGUACCACCAGAAGAAGCCCCGGCUAACUCCGUGCCAGCCGCCGCCGUAA